rnacentral:rRNA from 1 species
AUUGAACGCUGGCGGCAGGCUUAACACAUGCAAGUCGAACGAGUGACGGACGGGUGAGUAAUGUAUGGGAAUCUGCCUUCUGGAGGGGGAUAACUACUGGAAACGGUACCUAAUACCGCGUAUCAUAAGCUGUGCCCAGAUGGGAUUAGUUUGUUGGUGGGGUAAAGGCGCACCAAGUCGACGAUCUCUAGCUGGUCUGAGAGGAUGACCAGCCACACGGGAACUGAGACACGGUCCAGACGACGACGGGAGGCAGAAGUGGGGAAUAUUGCACAAUGGGGGGAAGCCGGACGCAGCCAUGGCGCGUGGAUGAAGAAGGCCUUCGGGUUGUGAAGUACUUUCGGUGGGGAGGCGUUAACUGCAGAAGAAGCACCGGAUAACUCCGUGCCAGCAGCGGCGGUAAUAC